GAUGAACGCUGGCGGCGCGCCUAACACAUGCAAGUCGAACGAUUAAAGCACCUUCGGGUGUGUAUAAAGUGGCGAACGGCUGAGUAACACGUGGGCAACCUGCCCCUUUCAUUGGGAUAGCCACGGGAAACCGUGGAUAAUACCGAAUACUUCGAGACUUCCGCAUGGAAGACUCGAGAAAGCUCCGGCGGAGAGGGAUGGGCCCGCGGCCUGUUAGCUUGUUGGUGGGGUAACGGCCUACCAAGGCAAUGAUGGGUAGCUGGGUUGAGAGACCGACCAGCCAGAUUGGGACUGAGACACGGCCCAGACUCCUACGGGAGGCAGCAGUGGGGAGUCUUGCACAAUGGGCGAAAGCCUGAUGCAGCGACGCCGCGUGCGGGAUGAAGGCCUUCGGGUUGUAAACCGCUUUCAGCAGGGACGAGGCGAAAGUGACGGUACCUGCAGAAGAAGCCCCGGCUAACUACGUG
rnacentral:rRNA from 1 species